UUUCACGCAGCUCUUGCUGUUUGCCUUUUGGGUCUUUGCUUGUGUUGACUUUUGUGAAUAAAUAUUGUUUUGAGGAGUACCCCGGCAUUUGAGUCUUUCUAUUGCCUGACAGUGACAGGGUUGAGUAGUUGAAAAAUUGAUUGAAUUGAAUGAAUUAAUUUGCUAAGUAUCAAUUAAAAAAAGUUACGUUUGUUUCAAUGAAAUCAUGCAGGGUGAGAACGGUCAUAAGAGUAGCCUACAGUUUUUGAAAUUGAGAUUUUCACAUCAUCUGAAAGCUGAAUAAAUAAGCUUUCCAUUGAUGUCUGGUUUGUUAGGCUAGGACAGUAUUUGGAGAUACAAGUAUUUAAAACUCUGGAAUCUGAGGGUGCAAAAAAUCUAAAUAUUGAGAAAAUGGCCUUUAAAGUUGAAAAUCAGAGGUGCUGUAGGCCGUUGCUAAGAAACAGGUUUGUUUUAACGCUCUCUAUUGGCUUACUGUAAUGAUGUUGUGGAGAGUAGAUGAAGCCGAAAAGCUGAAAUUCUUAUCUUUACAUAGAUAAAUAACUUAAGUAGGUAAUUCCCAAAGAGCGGGCAGCAGCGAGCAAAGUUUGUAGGCGUGUUUAUGGCUAUUUUUUGAAAAUGAAGUUUUUAUAUAUUUACGGUAGGAAAUUUACCAGAUAUCCUCAUGGAAAAUGAUCUUUACUUAAUAUCCUAAUGAUCUUUGGCAUAAAAGAAAAAUCAAUAAUUUUGACCCACAAAUAUUCCCGUGCUAUGGUUUUGUGCUCCAUGGUAACAAUUUAAGAUUUUUUAUUUUAUACACUGAAAAAAAUACCCAUAAAAAUAGUAAUAUUUCAGCAGCUGGGGUGCCAGAAAAAAUACAACAAAAUAAAAUUUUUAUGAAGUAAAAUGACAUGUUUUUCCUGUUAUUUUACACCCAACUUGUAAAUUUGCAGUCUAUUUCUUUUUCAAAAAUAAAACAGUAAAAUUCCUGUUUUUACAGCGUACAAUUACUUUUCUGACACGGUUGAAUGCUUGAAAAAAUAAUUUACUUGCGAAGGAUUAAUUUUAAUUAAUUAAUCCAUUUUAUUUAAAAGAAAUGUAAAACGUCUUACACAGCCACGUAAACCACAAAAAAAAUGUAAUAAUUAUUUUUUCCUUAAUAACCAGCUCCAUAUUAAUCAACAGAUUAUAGCAAAAUGUCAGCAGUGAAUCAUGUUUAUUUGGAUGUUUGCAACUGAGAAGGUUAAGACCACUGAGGUCAGAAGGGAAAAAGCACCAUUUUUGUCUUGUGUUGACUAAUACGAGAAUUGUAUUCUUGAGGGUUUGUUUUAAUGAGUGAAUUGUUUCUUUCUGUUUAAGGCCUCUAGUCUUCCCAUGUCAAUUAUAAUCGUUGGAGUGGGGCCGGCUGAGUUUGAUGAGAUGAUUGAACUGGACGGAGAUGAAGUCAGGAUAUCAUCCAGGGGACACUUUGCAGAGAGAGACAUUGUACAGUUUGUACCUUUCCGAGACUACAUCGAUCGCAGGGGUAAUCACAUUCUCAGCAUGGCCCGCCUGGCGAAGGACGUCCUGGCAGAAAUCCCAGAUCAGUUUCUGCAGUACGUGAGGAGCAGAGGCAUCAAACCGCAGGCAGCGCCCAACUGCACCACCUCCAAACCUCCGUCGACACUCGUUCCCUCCGUCCACUCGCUCCAAACGCAGAUCUGAGCAAUCGCACAAUGCGUCCUCCAUUCGUGUCACUGCCGUUCUCAGGAUCACACACGGUUUUUCCGAGAGAAUCCUACAGGGUGUCUCUCUGGUAUCCUUUGAGAAGUCUUCACCAGGUACCAUCUUUCUUCAGCCGUGCUGAGCUUUCAGAAGGUGUUUCGGACUGUUUUAAACUAUCGAGUGGCCUCUUCAGUCAAACAAGACUUCAGUGUCUCACAUACUGUACAUGAUGUUGUUUUGUCUGGCGACCUUCAAGCAAACGUUUACAAUCGUACCAUUUUUUACAUGGAUGGAUGUUUUUGUAUCUCAUGAGAACAUAAGCAACCUAAACGCUGAGCUGCUUAACAUUGGAAUUAUCGCUCAUUUUCUUACAUGAUGUAAAUAGUGUGAGAUUCUAUGGAGCGCAUGAAUACAUUCUGGGUGCGAAAGUGGGAGAGGAAUGCGUUUCUAUAAACGCUGUGGUGCGAGGCCUUGGUUUACAUCUUGUUGUAAAGUGUUCACUUCAUGUUACUUUUCAAGUAUUCUUGGUUGCUCGACUGCCUCAAAUUGUAAAGAAUUUGUGCUCAGCUUUCACAUAACAAGCACAACACAGAGACUUGACAGAAAAAGCCUUUACAACGAAUAAUUCACACAAAGUAAACAUUUGGCCAUCAUUUUCUCACCUCGGUGUCUUUGACAACCCAUAUGAUUUAUGAAUUUUUGACUUAUAUAUUGUUAUAUUAGGAUUUUGUUGAGCAACUUAUGUUGUUUUUCUACGGAUAAAAGAACGUCAUAUGGGUUUGAAAUGAUGUAAGGGGGAGUAAAUACGACCAAAUUGUUAUUUUUGUGUAAGCUAUUCCUUUAAACACAGAACUGUAGCUGCUCUCAGUAGCCUAUCUGUAUCUAAGCACAGAAAUGCAAGCACAGACGUAGCACAUGAUGUAAGCAUGCUGGGUACCACACGAUUUGUUUGUGUUUGUCAUUGUUAAUCUUGCAUGCAGUUGGAGCCAGAUUUGUUAAUUGGGUCAUUCUACAAAUGUGGUGACAAAAGUUAUUACUCGCACUUAGGUGACAAGACAUCAAACUGCAUGUUAACAAUUUCGAUAGAAAAUAAUAUAUUUAACAAUAUAUAUGGUUAACAUGCUAAAUAAUCUAUUUAAAUAAAGGAAUGUUUGUUAAUAUUUUAGUAAACAAUGUGUAAUAGUAUGAACGAUCUAUAAUAUUUACAAUUAUUAUGAUUUUAUAAGUCGCUUGCAUGAAAAUAUGCAUGUCACUCAUAAUGCGUUUUAUAAUUUCAAAAAGUUGUUAUAAAACUCGAAAUAGGUCGAAAUGAUUUUCAACAAUAUUUUAUGAUGAUGGUACUACUGCAGUACAAAACAUGAAAAUACAAAAAUGACUCAUAAUUUAAUUUAACACUAAUAAUAUAAUAACAUUUGAUACUAAUACAAUUUAAUACUAAUUUGUUUCUUAAAAUUUAAGAAAAGAAAAGGAUUUUAUUUUUUAGAUUAUUUAUACAAUUAUUUGUAGAAUGACCUAAUUAAAUGGCAUCAAAGGAUAUUUUGUGUGAGACCAAACAAAAAUAUAUAUAAUAAAUAAAUAUAUUUUUUACAAUUCAACUCAUUGGGUCGCAUUCAUGAAACAUUCGUAAAUAUACGAGUAAACGUUUUUAUGAUUUGUGCGUAAAACGGACCUUCCCGAAAACUGUCCUCCGGAUUCACAAAUACUUCGUAAACGAUUUGAUAGUAAAACAUGUGUAUGUUAAUGAAUUCCAAUCAUUCGUAAAUAAGGCGUGCAUGCACGCUCAUUCAUAAUCCCCGUCUAUGAUUUACAGUUACGCAAAUUACGUAUCUAGGAAUGCUGUGGAAUCCUUCGAAUUCCAUUCUCUGGUUUGGCACAUUAUAUUGCGUAAAUGCAUAAAAGAAUAAUAAGCUAUGUACAGGUUUGUUAAAAUCGCCAUACGGAGGCUCGGAGAUGAAGUAUUUUGUAUGCAAAACCCGGAAACGAGUUAGCAUUUUAGGACUUCCGGUUCCAUCGCUCCUAAUUCUAUGGGUUUUUUUAAUGGGUUUUUGGUAAAUCGUCCGAAAUAAGGUCGGUUAACAAAACCUCUAAAUAUUUUCACAUUUUAUUUCUAUGACAUAAAACACACCAACUAUAACCCACUUGUGAUUUUUUAAAGCCUUAUUGUGUAUUAAAAAUGGCGGUUGCUAACAAGUUGCUAAAAGCAACUACUUUCUUUGGCGGGGACGUCAUCGUGCAUAUAAAGUUCACAAAUAAUGCAACAUGGACACAAAUCUCUUAAAACGUAGAUGCGGAUUCAUUCACGGAGUAAUUACUUACCAGGGAACACAUUUUUAAUAAAGUUUGAAAGAGUUGUUGGAGGCUUGGUGUUGGGGACAAUGAUAUCGAGCGACCUUAAGUAGUCUGUUUAUCAUCGUGUUAGCUUUGCACUUCUGCCGAUUGUAUUCAAAAGUAACAAAUGUGGUGUUAAUUUGUAAAGAUUAUCUUGAUAGAAAAAACGCGUAAACAUCAUAAACCUUUGUUAAUCACAGAGCUUAUUUUUUGCGAUCUUCCAAAAGUCUAUGGGGAAAAUGCAUAGGCUUACGGUCGAGGGAACCAGCUUACUUAGCGCUUACUUCCGGGUUAGCCUACAAAAAUACUCAUCUAGUCAUCUCUGAGGUACUGGAUUGACGAGGUCUGCUAAAAAUGGAAAAAAAAAAGACAGGGCAAAGGAACUCGUGAAAUAUCAUUAUGAUACAAAAUGCAUUUUUAUGCAUCUGAAAAUUUACGUCAGAACGACGUUAUGUAUGAUUUACACAAAAAUGUGUCCUUCUCGUGUUUCAUGAAUGAGGCCCAUUUUCUGUUGAUAGUUCAGAUGUCCUGAACCAAACAUAUACUGUCCAUCAUUUAAACGCAAAUAUAACGUACAGACAGCACUCAACAUGAUCCACGAGUGUUAUGAGCACACAUCAGAAGCCUUCAGAUAUUUCAGCAAGAAAACAUUGGAGUGAACCCUCAGUCUUGCAGCCCUCAGAGUGCCGACUUCAUUUAUUUAACAUGACAGCGUAUCAACCUCCAACUUACACCCACACUCGCUCACAUCCAUACCGAAUUAUCUUUAUAAAUCAUGCAGAAAACAUGCAUCAAAUUUUAACCUCGCAUGGGAUAGAAAUGUUUCUCGAGUCUUUCCAUAUGUGAUGAGUGAAUACUGCAGUCUUCCUCACUUAUGCCCAAAUCAAACACAAACUAUUACAAAGGUAGAAUAUUACUUUUGUAGAAUAUUUUAAGAAAAUUCAUAUCUUGACCUUGUGCUAGUGACAUUUAAAUUUCAUCUUAUACAUUUUUCAAUGAAACACGUGCAGCUAAUAUAGAUUAUAAUAUAUAAUUAUAAUAAUACUGUAAAUUGUUAUAUUAUAUUAUGUUAUGUUAUAUUAUAUAUUUAUGUUUCAUGUUGACCUAAAAGGGAAAGUUCCCCCACCCCAAAAAAAUCUAUCAUCAAUUACGCAUCCUUAUGUCAUUCCAAACCUGUAUGACUUUCUGUUUAGUGUUGUGCAGGCUUUUAACAACAUGAGGUUCAAUAAAUGAUGACAGAUUUAUUGUUUGGGUUGAACUAAAGAAUGAAGUUUUAAGUCCAAUAAAGUCCAGUUUUUGUUUUUUAGAUAGAAGAUUUACAUACUAUUUGACUGCAUGGCUACUAAAUUGUUUACAAGUAACAGAUAUUGUGCAUUUUAGCUCAGGUGUGACACCUCAUAUGUAAAUUAACUGGUGACAGGUGACAAUGUUGCUUAGUAGUCAUUCUUAGGGCCAGUUUACGUGCACUAUAUAACUCAUUACGCGUCUCAGAAGUUUGUUAAACUGUGAUUAAAGGAGCCAUGACAUGACUUUUCAUUUUAUUUUGUCUCCUGUGGUAAAAUUAUAAUAUUACUAAAGUUUUUGUGCCGAAGAAACAGGUUAGUUUUAAUCCUGUUUAAAUACAGUCCGAUUUCUGUUUCCCCUUUAAGAGUACGUUUACAAGACAACAAUGGAGUAGAAAAUGGAAAGGCUUUUCCUUUGCAUUUUAUAAAAGUUUCACGUACACACGACACUGCUGUCAAAAGGAUCUGUGUUUACUUGGGUCCGCAGAAACGAGUAAAAAUACUGAAUUGCGCAUGCCAGCCCAGUGGAUGGAGAUGUCACUUUGUAAAGAAACACUACGUGCCUGCGCACAUACGAAAAUGCACAAGUUUGUAACCGCCCACUUCUAUGAUUGACAGCUGUUGCUGAGACAUGCUGGUGGAUAACCGCAGUUUCUCUUGUACAUACAGCUAUUCAAACUUUCUUUUUAAGCACGUUAUGUGUUAAUUCAUGUCACAGACACUUCAACAAAUACACAGGUACAACGUUUUUACGAUGAAGGAAAACAUAAAUUUGAAUUUGAAAAAAAAAUACUUCAAAAACCACAGUUAGCACAGAUUAUUAUGUAUAAUAUCAUUAGGUAAAAAGAAGGUGUUGUUAUCUUGCUGUAGGCAGGUUAUAUAAAAAACGAACCUACCUUGUAUCCAGCCAUUUUGCUUUUCUUUUUUUUUCAAGGGAACAAUUACAUAAAUGCUUGUGUUAUUGAAGAGGAGGAUGUUUUAAGAUUUUAAACUUGCAGGAUGUAUUUAUGAUACCAAGACCUCUUAUAUGUCAAAAGAUUAAAGAAAAUUUGAUCCCUCAUGUCAUGACCGUUUUAAGAUGUUUUAUACUGUAAUCUCACAGGUACUGCGAAUGGAAAGUUUACUUCUCAAAAUGUUGGCCAACUUUGUGCAAAACUGCUCAAGUAAACUAGCAGUUUACAAACAUUCAUAUAGCAUGAACACGGAUAUUGUUUACCUUUGUUAAUGAUGAAUUCACAGUUUAACUGCAUCAUGUUUGCCUGCAGCAUGUGCAGUAUUUUGAAAAGAAUUUGUUGUUUGUUUGCUUAUAAAGUAUACACUUUGCCUUAUAUUAUUUACUUCAAAUUUACUAUAUUGAAUUGUAGCAUUAUACAUCUUUUUAAAGCACUUUUUGUGUGCAUUAUGUCUAAAAUGAUUAUAAUGUUUGUGAAGUGAAUGGCCUGUUAUCAUGCAUGCAGGUGCUGUUAUAUCAGUGUAGUUUGGCAUUGAAUGCAUUCAAAUAACCUGUAGCACUUUUUUAAUUCAUGGGAAUUAAACAUUUACAAGUUUAUUAUGUUUCUUGAGAUCAAUCACUGACUUUGAGGCACAUCAAAAUGACCCGACAAAGUUUAAGUGUAAUUUCAUAUUUGUUUAUCACAGAAACUAGUAUUUAUGCUAUAUUUAUAAUAUGAUUACCUACCAGGUUAAAUCAACAACGAUU